rnacentral:rRNA from 1 species
UCUACCUUCGGAUGGGGAAGUAACAACCGGAAAACCGGUUGCUAAUACCGCAUAAUGCAGCGGCACCUAAUGGUGACAGUUGUUAAAGCGGGGGAUCGAAAGACCUCGCGUCUGAAGAGGAGCCUGCGGCGGAUUAGCUUGUUGGUAAGGUAACGGCUUACCAAGGCGACGAUCCGUAGCCGGCCUGAGAGGGCGGUCGGCCACACUGACACUGACAUACGGGUCAG